rnacentral:ncRNA from 1 species
GACCGACAGUGCGAGGAAUAUAAUACCACAAGGGAAUAACUCCGCUGUUCAUCUUUACAGUUUUGAGCUGUCGGUCGCCCUACU